UGGGGAAAAAAGGCGCGGCUUAUAGUCCGAAAAUUACGGUAGUCCUAAUGGUUAGCGUAGAAUGUUGUAGUCUUGACAACCAGUUAGUUGGACGGGAGUCCCCUGAGGGAAUCUGGUGGAACGUUCUGGAUUCUAUUUGCGUAACCUCGAGCCGUUGCCAACGGAAACUAUUUUUCAGUCGGUUUCCAUUGGGAAUUGUUGCCCCUAUUUUAAACAACUAAAGUUUGAUAUUAAAUACAUACUGACACGUACGUCAUACAAUAUGUUGAUCAUUUCCGAUGGUUGCGCCGCACUCUUAACCACGAUGACGUUGCGGGACUCUCACUGCGUACAAAACAGCGUUCUACUUGCGGGCCCAUUUUUGACAUCAAGGAAGACUUAAAAUCAUUUCAAGAUGGAAGAUAAUUUGACAUUUCUUCAACGGAACCCAGCACCUGAAUAUGGCUGAGUAUAUUAAAUUUAAUAUUGAUACUGCUUAGUGUUCUUUGUUACUUCAGCUUUUGUACGUUCUAAAUAUCUGCCGUCAUUCAUUGCCACAGAAGUUAAACCCUACCCAAUGGAAUGACGUUAAACAACGACUUUGAUGCAGAGUUAACGACUGGAUAAUAUAAAAGCUAAAAUAAUGGCUGUCAUUCCCACAUGUUAUAGUAGAAGAUACUCUAGAACUGUACAUGGUUAAAAAGGUAUCAUGUAGUUUGUCCCAAGGUGUCUGCCUCCUCACCCAGAGCCAGACCUCCACCUCCUCACCCAGAGCCAGACCUCCACCUCCUGUCAGAAGUCCUCCAGAACAGCUGAAAGGCGAGGCUGAGAGGCUGGGGUCCGGAGGCUUGUGGUGCCAGGGUGGACCGGAGACUGAGGCUGGAGACCAGGGGCCUGCAGCACCGGACCAGAGGACCAGGAAUCCAUGGCUGAAGGCGCUGAUGGAGGAGCUGUGCUGAAGGCCCUGGGCUGGUGGAGGAGCUGGUGGAGGGCCUGCCUGGGGAAUGACGUGUAUCGUGGGUUAGAUGGAGCCUGACUCUGAAACCAGGACUCUGUCUGAGGAGAGCUGCUGGAGGAGCUGAGACGCUGGAGGACGACUAGGAAUCGACCAACAAGGAUUCCUUAACGUGUUUCUGGAGCGGAGGCAAGCUGGUAGGGGAGCCGUGAAUCUGGAGGAUGACCAUCACUCUACCAACAAGGGUUACUUUAGGGCCAGACUCACGCUGUUUGUUCCAGACCAGGACACUGGCUGAGGAGAGCUGAUGGAGGAGCCAAGACUCGAGCCAAGAGGACGACAUCACUCCACCAACCAGGAUCCUCACCAGGAAUCUGGAGGACUGAUGGAGAAGCCGGACAUCUGGAAGGCAAAUCCUGAGGACCAACAGGACUCUACCAUCAAGGAUUCCUCAUAAAUUUGCAUUAUCUGGACAUAGUGGACCAGACACACCUGAGCUGAACCUCACCUGAUCCUGAUAUCCUGCUGGUCCCGUCUCCUCAGUUCAUCUGAGCCUCGUCCUCCAGAAGACCUGCUGAGCUCAGCAGUCUGAGGCUGAUGGAUCAAUGACCUCCAGUGGGAGUGAUCUUCUUGAUCCCACAUGUAACCGUGUGCUUCCACACGCCUUUCCCUCAUGUCUGUCACUAACCUCACUACUUCACUACUUUCUACUGCUUCCUCUUUUCUUCCUUCUCUGUGGUUCGAACCUUUACACAGAAGGCGCGUCUUCCUGCCCUCAGAGGGUUCAGCGUUAGGGUUGAGAGUCAGGGUUUAGAGUCAGGGACAGAGCUGGUCAGGGAGGACUGCUUUUACACAAACCUCUUCACUUGCUUUCGGAAUGGUGGUGACAUUUUGAAAAGAUUCAUUUGGGAAAAUGUUUUCCUCUGCUUUCCUUUACAAAAUUGUAUUAAACUUCUGUCAAGUGUUUUUGUUUAUAUAUUAAAAUCCCACAUUGACUUCUA